rnacentral:rRNA from 1 species
AUUCGGAUUGAAGGCUGAAAUUCGCCUUCAUGAAGCCGGAAUUGCUAGUAAUGGCAGGUCAGCAUACUGCCGUGAAUACGUUCCCGGGCCUUGUACACACCGCCCGUCACACCAUGAGAGUUGGGAAUACCCGAAGCCUGUGAGCUAACGUAAGAGGCAGCAGUCGAAGGUAGAAUCAAUGAUUGGGGUGAAGUCGUAACAAGGUAAC